rnacentral:rRNA from 1 species
GGAUCCAGACUUUGAUCAUGGCUCAGGACGAACGCUGGCGGCGUGCUUAACACAUGCAAGUCGAACGGUGAAGAGGAGCUUGCUCCUUGGAUCAGUGGCGAACGGGUGAGUAACACGUGAGCAAUCUGCCCUUGACUCUGAGAUAACUGCGGGAAACUGUAGCUAAUACCGGAUAUUACCUUGGAAGGCAUCUUCUGGGGUGGAAAGAAUUUUGGUCAAGGAUGAGCUCGCGGCCUAUCAGCUAGUUGGUGAGGUAAUGGCUCACCAAGGCGACGACGGGUAGCCGGCCUGAGAGGGUGACCGGCCACACUGGGACUGAGACACGGCCCAGACUCCUACGGGAGGCAGCAGUGGGGAAUAUUGCACAAUGGGCGCAAGCCUGAUGCAGCAACGCCGCGUGAGGGACGACGGCCUUCGGGUUGUAAACCUCUUUUAGUAGGGAAGAAGCGACUGGGUUUUCCUGGGAGUGACGGUACCUGCAGAAAAAGCACCGGCUAACUACGUGCCAGCAGCCGCGGUAAUACGUAGGGUGCAAGCGUUGUCCGGAAUUAUUGGGCGUAAAGAGCUCGUAGGCGGUUUGUCGCGUCUGCUGUGAAAACCCGAGGCUCAACCUCGGGCCUGCAGUGGGUACGGGCAGACUAGAGUGCGGUAGGGGAGAUUGGAAUUCCUGGUGUAGCGGUGGAAUGCGCAGAUAUCAGGAGGAACACCAAUGGCGAAGGCAGAUCUCUGGGCCGUAACUGACGCUGAGGAGCGAAAGCAUGGGGAGCGAACAGGAUUAGAUACCCUGGUAGUCCAUGCCGUAAACGUUGGGAACUAGAUGUGGGGACCAUUCCACGGUCUCCGUGUCGCAGCUAACGCAUUAAGUUCCCCGCCUGGGGAGUACGGCCGCAAGGCUAAAACUCAAAGGAAUUGACGGGGGCCCGCACAAGCGGCGGAGCAUGCGGAUUAAUUCGAUGCAACGCGAAGAACCUUACCAAGGCUUGACAUAUACCGGAAACCUGCAGAAAUGUAGGCCCCGCAAGGUCGGUAUACAGGUGGUGCAUGGUUGUCGUCAGCUCGUGUCGUGAGAUGUUGGGUUAAGUCCCGCAACGAGCGCAACCC